rnacentral:rRNA from 1 species
AUACGGAGGGUGCAAGCGUUAUCCGGAAUCAUUGGGUUUAAAGGGUCCGUAGGCGGGUUUGUAAGUCAGUGGUGAAAGUUUUCGGCUCAACCGGAAAAUUGCCAUUGAUACUGCAAGUCUUGAAUCAUUAUGAAGUGGUUAGAAUGUGUAGUGUAGCGGUGAAAUGCAUAGAUAUUACACAGAAUACCGAUUGCGAAGGCAGAUCACUAAUAAUGUAUUGACGCUAAGGGACGAAAGCGUGGGUAGCGAACAGGAUUAGAAACCCGAGUAGUCC